UUGGCCCAGAUCGUUUACCGUGAAAAAAUUAGAGUGUUCAAAGCAGGCAGAUCCAAUUUUCUGCCACCGAAUACAUUAGCAUGGGAUAAUGGAAUAGGACCCUGUCCUCCUAUUUUCAGUUGGUUUUGGCAGCGCGAGGACUAGGGUAAUGAUUAAUAGGGAUAGUUGGGGGCAUUAAUAUUUAAUUGUCAGAGGUGAAAUUCUUGGAUUUAUGAAAGAUUAACUUCUGCGAAAGCAUCUGCCAAGGAUGUUUUCAUUAAUCAAGAACGAAAGUUAGGGGAUCGAAGACGAUCAGAUACCGUCGUAGUCUUAACCAUAAACGAUGCCGACCAGCGAUUAGGAGACGUUGAAUACAAAACACCACCAUCGGUUGCGGUCGUCCUUGGCGUCUCGGUUUCGGCCGGGGCGCGGGGAUGGCUUAGCCCGGUGGCACCGGUGAAUGACUCCCUAGCAGCUUGUGAGAA
rnacentral:rRNA from 1 species